UACAGAGGUCCCAAGCGUUGUUCGGAUUCACUGGGCGUAAAGGGUGCGUAGGUGGCGUGGUAAGUUUGAUGUGAAAGCUCAGGGCUUAACCCUGAAAUGGCAUUGAAUACUACUGUGCUGGAGGUUUGGAGGGGGGACUGGAAUUCUUGGUGUAGCAGUGAAAUGCGUAGAUAUCAAGAGGAACACCAGUGGCGAAGGCGGCGACCUGGACCGACACUGACGCUAAUACACGAAAGCGUGGGGAGCAAACAGG
rnacentral:rRNA from 1 species